AGAGACAGCAGUAGCCGCGGUAAAACAGAGGGUGCGAGCGUUAAUCGGAUUUACUGGGCGUAAAGCGUGCGUAGGCGGCUUCUUAAGUCGGAUGUGAAAUCCCUGAGCUUAACUUAGGAAUUGCAUUCGAUACUGGGAAGCUAGAGUAUGGGAGAGGAUGGUAGAAUUCCAGGUGUAGCGGUGAAAUGCGUAGAGAUCUGGAGGAAUACCGAUGGCGAAGGCAGCCAUCUGGCCUAAUACUGACGCUGAGGUACGAAAGCAUGGGGAGCAAACAGGAUUAGAUACCCGAGUAGUCCCUGUCUCUUAUAC
rnacentral:rRNA from 1 species